rnacentral:snRNA from 1 species
AUACUUACCUGGACGGGGUCUAUGUCAAGAAGGUUCAUGGCCUAGGUUAGUGGCCUCCAUUGCACUUGGGAGGAGGCUAGCCUACCAUCUUCCCAAGUGGAAGAGUGGACGUCAUAAUUUGUGGCAGAGGGGUACGUGUUCGCGCGUCCCCUA